rnacentral:rRNA from 1 species
CUCCCGGCACGGGGAGGUAGUGACGAAAAAUAACGAUACGGGACUCAUCCGAGGCCCCGUAAUCGGAAUGAGUACACUCUAAACCCUAUAACGAGGAUCAAUUGGAGGGCAAGUCUGGUGCCAGCAGCCGCGGUAAUUCCAGCUCCAAUAGCGUAUAUUAAAGUUGUUGCGGUUAAAAAGCUCGUAGUCGAAUCUGUGUCCCGCGCCGCCGGUUCAUCGCUCGCGGUGUUUAACUGGCGUGUCCGCGGGACGUCCUGCCGGUGGGCGCAGCCCCCCGCCGCGGUGCUCUUCAUUGAGUGUCGAGGCGGGCCGGCACGUUUACUUUGAACAAAUUAGAGUGCUUAAAGCAGGCUAAAACUUCGCCUGAAUAUCGUGUGCAUGGAAUAAUGGAAUAGGACCUCGGUUCUAUUUUGUUGGUUUUCGGAACCCCGAGGUAAUGAUUAAUAGGAACGGAUGGGGGCAUUCGUAUUGCGACGUUAGAGGUGAAAUUCUUGGAUCGUCGCAAGACGGACGGAAGCGAAAGCAUUUGCCAAAAACGCUUUCAUUGAUCAAGAACGAAAGUUAGAGGUUCGAAGGCGAUCAGAUACCGCCCUAGUUCUAACCAUAAACGAUGCCAGCUAGCGAUCCGCCGACGUUCCUCCGAUGACUCGGCGGGCAGCUUCCGGGAAACCAAAGCUUUUGGGUUCCGGGGGAAGUAUGGUUGCAAAGCUGAAACUUAAAGGAAUUGACGGAAGGGCACCACCAGGAGUGGAGCCUGCGGCUUAAUUUGACUCAACACGGGAAACCUCACCAGGCCCGGACACCGGAAGGAUUGACAGAUUGAGAGCUCUUUCUUGAUUCGGUGGGUGGUGGUGCAUGGCCGU